CAAUUGCUUUAACACACACCACCACUGGGCGAGUCCAUAUGCACCGUUCCAGUUUCACGGAUUGGUGAACCAAAAAUACUGCCAAUUCUCGAGGCAAUGAGAAACGUCUUACGCGAAAAACUCACAGCAGAGACGGUUUUACUUUUUUUUUUGGAGAGGGAGGUGAAACUAUGAAAAUUUUUCAUUCAUUCAAUUCGCAUUGCUGGAACAAAAGGCAAAGGAGCCACUGCUUCAUUCCUCUCCAAAUUGUUGAAUGCAGAAGGCUACUUUGUUGCUAUACUAGGUACUAUAUUUGGAAGACUGCCCUCCAAAAAAGUAUUCUUUGCAUGAUAUGCUGCUUGGAUACUAGCUCGUGAAAGGAAGCGCCAUCAUGAGUUGGUAUUGUAUGUGGAAGCAGGGUGAAGAAGACACUAAUGUGAGCUUGGAUCGGAGCUAUAGAGUUUAAGGUGUUUCCUAUUUAAUUCUAAAACAGUUGCAGAGAUCCUGUUGAGAGGUUGAGAAUGGGGAGAGAGGAGGAAAAUGUGUAGGCUAGAACCUUAUGCAUUUUAUGAAUGAUACAUUGAUAUGGAGAGGUUCUCAUGCAUCUAUCAAGCUGGUCUGGAAAGUGCAUUUUUUGCUAGGCAGAAGCCAAGUCUUGAGUUCGAAGAAGCGACUAGAUUAGGAUUACCUGCGCCACAAUACUGCUUAAUGGAGGUUGGAUCUGAUGAUUUCAGCAUCGCUUAUGCAAUAUUCAUGUGAUUUUUUGCAUGCACAGCCAUGGAAACCUACAACGAUAUGCAUUUGUUUUCAAGGGUUGUUUUCAGUCUUUAAGAACUGGAUAAUGAUGAGGAAUUUGGUCAACACAAUGGAAUGUGCCAGGGCUGUAGCAAACACUUCCUGAUGACAUUUCCGAAGGCAAAAUUGGUUAUUGUGGUUGUAAUGGAAAUGACAAAAUUCAUGUAGGAUUUGCAACGAAGUGCUCUCAGAGUUGAGGAAGGGGGCUUGAACUAGCAGCAUAAAAGCAGUCCUCCAACCGUUACAGGGAAGGAUGGGGACAGGACAUCCAAAUGGGACAUGGAAAUCUAUAUAGCAAUCAAGGUUGCAGUAUAUGCUAACUAAUGCAUCACCCCCUCUGCCCUUAACAAGACAUUCAUUUCCCUAUUGGAGUACUAAGCUUUACUUACUUCCACUUGGACAAAAAAUAAAAAUAGAAAAAGAGAAUACGAUAACUACCUUAUUAUGGUUGGGCCGCCAACUUUUGAAAUAGAAUUGCAAUUGUCUAUGAAAAUGAAUGAGCUCAAAUUUGGAAAUCCUUAGAUAGUGGGAAAACUGAAAAGUUGGUGAUAUGCACAAUGUAUCAAUUACAUCUCAAUUUCAAACUAAUUUAGAUUGUUUAUAUGAAUUAAUUUA